GGGUAUAUAGCUCAGUGAUAGAGCACACACUUCGCAUGCAUGAGAUCCUGAGUUCAAUCCCCAGUGCCUCCA
rnacentral:tRNA from 1 species